GGACUACAGGGGUAUCUAAUCCUGUUUGAUCCCCACGCUGUCGCGCCUGAGCGUCAGUUACGAGCCAGUGAGCCGCCUUCGCCACCGGUGUUCUUCCCAAUAUCUACGAAUUUCACCUCUACACUGGGAAUUCCACUCACCUCUCUCGUACUCAAGCUUUCCAGUUUCAAUGGCAAUUCCGGAGUUGAGCUCCGGGCUUUCACCACUGACUUGGAGAGCCGCCUGCGCGCGCUUUACGCCCAGUAAUUCCGAACAACGCUAGCCCCCUUCGUAUUACCGCGGCUGCUGGCAC
rnacentral:rRNA from 1 species